GCCCCCAUCUCCCGCCGCCCCCACCUCUCAGGGCUGUCAAUUGCGUUGGUCAAUGUGAAAAAAUUUGGGGGGUUUUUUGGGUGGAAAUCCGACCACUGCUUUCCAAGCUGCCAUCUUUCAUGGUCCCUUUCUCCUGCUCUGCGCCUAGGUAGCCACAGUUAUCUUGAGGGCUUGUAGGAACUUCACAGAAUGUUCUUGUGCAAAGGAAACCCUUGGAGUGGAACUCGUUUCUGGCCUUCUGUCUUGCUUCUCUGUUCUCUUGUGAAAGUGGUCAAUGCAAUUUCCAGUUAAGUUUUCAUUUAAAAAAUUUUGAUGAAUCAUUUCUUUUAUUUAGAGUGUAUAGAUGUUUGUUUAGUGUCUGUUAGAGUAUAGGCUAUUUUGGUUCGGGGUCGAUAUUUUUCACCUGUGCUUCUUGUUUCUCUAAGGAUUCUAAUUUCAGGUAUUGUUGUCUAAAUUACAAUUUUUAUAUGUAUUUUGACAUAAUCAAUCUCAGUUUUGUAUUGUUUUUGGGAAAUUAGUAGCAUAAUAUCGGCAGCAUCUCAUGUGGGUUUUUUGAGUUUGGACAUUGCUUUUCUCAAAGAUUCUCUGCUUCAAAGGUGUUUGAGGAUUUUCCUCUUUCAAGUUCUUCUCUAAUAUUUGUUCUGAGAACUGUCCAAAUGAUGUUAAAGUUUUAUGCAAGCAGCAGCAGAAGCCAAGAGUCGGGAAGUUGCAGUUAUGUAUAUGUGAAGGCUUAUCUGAGUUUUUGGAAACAUAGCUAUUGCAGCCCGGCAUGCUCAACGUGUACAUGGAUUGAAGCGGGUUCUUAUAAUUGAUUUUGAUGUUCAUCAUGGGAAUGGUACAUGUGAUGCAUUUUAUGAUGAUCCAGACAUUUUCUUCAUUUCAACUCAUCAGAUUUAUAUCUUGGGAGCUCAGUCAAGGCAUCCAAAGCAUACGAGAAAGUUCAUUACAGUAUGCAAAUGACAAUGCCUUGCAGCUUGCCAAGGCAUGCAUGAUGGUGGGGCUGAAGGGAAUCGUUUCAAGAAGGUGAAAAGCGAAGAUACAUGCGAUCAUU